ACCGGUUUUGCGUUGAGACAAAAUACGGGUGGGAUACCAGAAAAGAAGCUGAGAAGCUCAUUUUCAUACCAGGAUCGAAAGGAUGAAGAAGUUCACUGCCGCCUUUUUGUGCGUCUUUCUUUUACUUGCUGCUAUUUUGAGUGGUGCAAUGGGCCAGCGGAACAACAGAAUACGGUCAUCCCAGCAACGCUCUCGGCCCAAUAGCCAGCAGGUCGGCAUUAGCAACAUUGCGGACGGGCCGCGACGAAACCAAUGCCCGCGUGGCUAUAUUCCCGUACGUGGACAAUGCAGAUACCACCGAGGCUGAAUUUUUAAAAUAUUAUCGAAUAAUUCUAGAGAGCGAUAGUAAUGCUUGAUGAUGAUUAGAUUAUUUCAUAUCUAAAUUAGAAAAAAUGUGAAAAUUAUGCAUGUUAAUUUCUGGUUCGGGUACCAAUAACUAACCCAAGCUAAAAAUUAAAUUUUAUAUUUAAACAGGAUUAUAGUUUCAUUUCAAUACCUUUUAAUAAAAAGAAAAAUGACAGCUAAUUAAAUUAAGAGGCCUAAUUUUGCUAUAAAAUAUACUGAAUGCUAUUUAUUAAAAAUAUUUCUGCACAAAUUUGACAGUGUUGAGCUAAUAUAUCAAACGCAUACUAAAAAAGAGACGAUAGGAAUAGGAAAUGAGCGGGUGGGAGAGCGAAAAACUUAUUUGCCGACGCACAUGAUGAAAUUUUGCACCUGGCGCUACACGCCUGCUCGCCGUGUGUAUGUGUGUGUUCGGGCUAAUUGGGUUUGCCAGCGAUAAUUAGAUCGGGCAGCUGGGCUAAUUCGGCGUGAGAAGAAAGCGCACGCGGCUAAUUUCCAGCGAGAGAGCUGCGUACAUUUUAAUAUUUGACGAGGCGCCUGUUGCGCCUGAAUCUUUCAUGGCCAAAGGUAAACAGCGGCGAAGUCGGCCGGCCGGAUUAAUAUUUGAAAAUUUGAUGAGCCGUCGAAGCAGCGAAGCGACUCUUGCCUGCUCCCUUUGUUUGCACAAUAAUUGGAUGGAUGGCGAGGCUGCACAAGUGUCGGAUCGCGCGUCCGCCUUUCCAUUCAUUGUUCCCCUUUCGCCGAAGCCCGCGAAUCAGUCGAGCCGACCCGCGCCCGGCAAACAGAUUGACAACGUUCGCUCGUACACACAGCCAGCCAACGUUUCGUUUGUUUGCGAAUAUAGCCGGCUGAAUGAAUUGUUUCUUGACGGCUCUUACUUUGAUUUACUGCCGCGUGCCCGCCGAUAUUUGGAAGUGGAUGGAUGAAGGUGAACAACGCCUCGACUGCUGGCUUUAUUUAGCAUAUAUAAUAACGAUGAUUGAUGGCGCUGUUGGCACGCUUAUCGACUUGAGUGCGAAAGCCAGAUUUGAUUGUUUGUUUGCGUUUUGUAAGGCGAAACUCAAAUGGUUAUUUCUGUAAUCCCUAUUAAGAAGUAUAUUUCCAUUCAACAAUUUCCUGACUCAUUACAUAUUCUAAAAAAUCAUGGUAAAUUUGAAAAAAUUGUAUUGUGGAGAUUAGCAACGAUGGGCAAAAAUGUGAAAUGAAAUCGGCCUUAGUCUCGCGGUCGUAAUCAAGGUUUUUAUUCGAAUUUUUUGUAAAUUUAUUCUGGAAUUAUACAGUUAGACGAAAUACGAUCGCAUUUUUAAUUGAGCACGAUUGCUUGCCAGUAGAAAAACUCGAAUAAACUUAAUUUUCUUCAAACUUUGGGACAAUAUACAACCAAUUUUUUACAACACAUAUGCUGGACACUGAGUAAAAAAUUCUCGUAUUGAUUUUACGGAAAAUAAUUUUGAUUUUUUACAAAAAUAGCAGCUUAAUAUGUUGUAAAAAAACAAAAAUUAAGAAAUAAAAAUUUUAUCCUGAUGACCCUGGGUAGCUUUGACGCAGAUUUAUUGCUUUUUAAGAAAACAAUUCAGUUUGACCAGCCUCAAAUUAUUUUAGCACGAAAAUGUAAAAAAAUCUCUAAUAUAUGGAAUAAUUAAACAUUUCAUGCGUCAGCAAAAUUUUGAAUUCUUGCGCAGGCAACGCAAACUGAGCAACGUUCCGUGAAAAUCCACGGCGUUGGUGAUUUAAUUUGCGAUCGAAAUUAGGUAAAGUUAUUGCGCAGCCCGCGGACGAAGAGGAAGCAACGUAUAAUUAAGUCGGACUAAAAUUCGCUUGGAGGAAGGAAACCAUUUGUUUUUGCAUUUUAGAUUUUCUGGAACAUAAAAGAGAGGAGCAGCGAGUAGCGAGCUUCCAGUGUCCGACAGCAACUGCUCAAGAGAACCACGCAAAAUGAAGAUCAUCCUCGCUUCUUUUCUGAUCGUGCUUUUGGUAGUGGGUAACCAUUUAGAAGGGGUGUCUGCAAAACCCCAGCAGUUUCCUGGAGAGACGGCAGCAGCCGGCAAUCCACCCCCUUCCAAUGGACCUUCAAACUUGAACAAUCGCUGCGGAGCCAAUCAAUUCUUUUUCAACAACAAAUGCAACCCAAUCAUUAUAUCAUCAAAUCCUUAAAUUAUGUAUGGGCGUCACUAUGUAGUUCGGUAGUUUCCACAUUUUCAUUAAAAUGAUUUAACUGAUAACUAUAUUUUAAUUCAUUCAAACCUUAUAUAAAUCUCAAAACAUACACAGGAUAGUCGAAAAAUGUCAUUUUGUUUUAAUCUUUACUAGUUCAUUCAAUUUAUUAGUAAAAAGGAGCAAGCAUUCCAUUACUACUAGUAAAAAAAACGUCAAAUCAAAACAAUAUUAUUUCUAGAGUUGCAAAUUAUUGGAAUUUGAAGCCAUUUAAUCCGACAGCAUUCCUGGCCUACUGCCAUCCUGCACAAAGGUGAGACUCAUGUCAAAUAUAUAUUUAAACCUUUAUGACAUAAUGCAAAACUUGUAUCACAGGUGGAAUAUAAAAGGAGCCUACGAGACGCAAAACACUCAAUGCAUCGUUAGAAUCGACGACAUGAAACUGGCUCUCGCCUUUGUUGCACAAUUUUCGUCCUCACAGGAGGUGUGGCGCAAUCUCAGUGGGGCCCUUUCUCAAAAACACAAGAAACGAUUCCGCACUCGCGACCCGUUUUAUCCCCGUUGGCCGCGGUUUCUUCGCCCUAACGGUCAGCUUGUGGACCAUUCCAAGUGUUUGUCCGAAGCAAAUGCAGGCCCCACCUGAUGUUUGGCUGAUUUCAACAAGUUUUCUUCUUUAAUUUUAAAUUUUACUAGCGGAUCGUAAAAAUUUUAUGAUUUUCAAAGAAAAAUAAAAUACAUUUUCAUCAA